AGGGCACCACCAGGAGUGGAGCCUGCGGCUUAAUUUGACUCAACACGGGAAAUCUCACCAGGCCCGGACACUGGAAGGAUUGACAGAUUGAGAGCUCUUUCUCGAUUCGGUGGGUGGUGGUGCAUGGCCGUUCUUAGUUGGUGGAGUGAUUUGUCUGGUUAAUUCCGAUAACGAACGAGACUCUGUCCUGCUAAAUAGUUCCCGCGUCCUUUGUUGCGCGGGAAAUUCUUCUUAGAGGGACUGGCGGCGUCUAGCCGCACGAGAUUGAGCAAUAACAGGUCCGUGAUGCCCUUAGAUGUUCUGGGCCGCACGCGCGCUACACUGAAGGGAUCAGCGUGUCUUCCCUUCCCGAGAGGGGCGGGUAACCCGCUGAACCCCCUUCGUGGUAGGGAUCGGGGCUUGCAAUUAUUCCCCGUGAACCAGGAAUUCCCAGUAAGCGCAAGUCAUAAGCUUGCGUUGAUUACGUCCCUGCCCUUUGUACACACCGCCCGUCGCUACUACCGAUUGAACGUUUUAGUG
rnacentral:rRNA from 1 species